GACGAACGCUGGCGGCGUGCUUAACACAUGCAAGUCGAACGGAAAGGCCCUGCUUUUGUGGGGUGCUCGAGUGGCGAACGGGUGAGUAACACGUGAGUAACCUGCCCUUGACUUUGGGAUAACUUCAGGAAACUGGGGCUAAUACCGGAUAGGAGCUCCUGCUGCAUGGUGGGGGUUGGAAAGUUUCGGCGGUUGGGGAUGGACUCGCGGCUUAUCAGCUUGUUGGUGGGGUAGUGGCUUACCAAGGCUUUGACGGGUAGCCGGCCUGAGAGGGUGGACGGCCACAAUGGGACUGAGAUACGGCCCAGACUCCUACGGGAGGCAGCAGUGGGGAAUAUUGCACAAUGGGCGGAAGCCUGAUGCAGAAACGCCGCGUGCGGGAUGACGGCCUUCGGGUUGUAAACCGCUUUCGCCUGUGACGAAGCGUGAGUGACGGUAAUGGGUAAAGAAGCACCGGCUAACUACGUG
rnacentral:rRNA from 1 species